rnacentral:rRNA from 1 species
GACGAACGCUGGCGGCGUGCCUAAUACAUGCAAGUCGAGCGGAUGGAAGGAAGCUUGCUUCCUAAAGUCAGCGGCGGACGGGUGAGUAACGCGUGGGCAACCUGCCCCUAAGAUCGGGAUAACUUCGGGAAACCGGAGCUAAUACCGGAUAUGAUUAUGUCUCACAUGAGACAUAAUGGAAAGACGGUUUCGGCUGUCACUUAGGGAUGGGCCCGCGGCGCAUUAGCUAGUUGGUGAGGUAACGGCUCACCAAGGCGACGAUGCGUAGCCGACCGGAGAGGGUGAUCGGCCACACUGGGACUGAGGCACGGCCCAGACUCCUACGGGAGGCAGCAGUAGGGAAUCUUCCGCAAUGGACGAAAGUCUGACGGAGCAACGCCGCGUGAGUGAAGAAGGUUUUCGGAUCGUAAAACUCUGUUGUUAGGGAAGAACAAGUACCAUAGUAACUGAUGGUACCUUGACGGUACCUAACCAGAAAGCCACGGCUAACUACGUGCCAGCAGCCGCAGUAACAC